rnacentral:lncRNA from 1 species
UAUUAGUAGGUUGUACCAAAUAUGCGUCUAGUCAUCACACGACUAGCGCGACUCUUUGUAUCAUAUGUAUAUAUUUCAAUAGAAACCCUAGAUGGGUGCUCUACUUCCUAUCGCCAUUAGAUUCAAAGAAUUUCUUGUCCUCACAAACCUGAAGAAGAGAAUCAUGCAUAUUUGUUCCUUUCUGGGUUGGCGCAAUUAAAAGUGUUGUGUUUUUAAUUAAUCGCAUUCCUUCUCUUAUUGUUUUCCAAGACAAAUAAGACUAAUCAUUUGACCCAGCAGCAGUAUGCACAAUAAUUACUAAAGUGUCAUAGCCUCUUUUUCAGCAAACCUGUUCCCACUUCUCUCUCACCCACCAUUCAGCUCCUCUUCUCAUGAAGGCCGGUUACCUGCAGAUCCUUAUAUUUAUCGUUAGCUGGACGGUACAAUGCAACAUUUUACCUUUACUAGACCAAAUAUGUCCUGUGCUGUUAAUUUGGCUGCUCAGUAUUUGCAUGCCCCUAGAGAGCCACAUAUGCCAGCAGCAAAACGCAUUCUUUGCUAAGUUUGAGGAACAUUAUCUUCUGGUCUUCAUUUCGCUUGCUGCCCCACUCCUUCCCUUGUGGCUUAUCCUAGUGCAAAUUGGGCAGGUUGUCCAAAUACACGAUGUUCUACAUUUGGAUUUUGUAUCUUUUUUUGGCCUAAUCUUAUCCCCUGGUGAGCAAAGAAAUAGCCCACCAACUCUAGAGCCGACUCUAAAGUGGAAUAUCGUUCUGUUGCCUUCAUCCUCGGUGAGACUAUUUGGAUUAGUCGGCUUCUUCGUGAUCUUUGUGUUUCUUUAUGGCAACCGAUCUACAUUAUUGUAAUAACUCAGCACUAUUUAUCUUGCUGCGAAUACUGUUUCACAUGUGCCCACGAAAAAUAUUGAGCUUGAUCAUCAUUUUUUGCGAGAGAAGGUUCCGUCUACAAGUAUGUGCUUCUUUCAUAUUUCUUUUGGCAAGCAACUCGCCGACAUCUUUACUAGGUCCUCGUCUGUUUCUCGUUUUACCAUCCUACAUACCAAUAUUCACAUCCAUCCAAAGAUGCUCAGAUUACAGGGGCAUGUUAGCGUACUAUAUGUAUUAUAUAUCAGUAUAUCAUAUAUUGGGGUUUAACAUAUAUUGGUGUCUAGUCAUCACACAACUAGCACACGACUCUUUGUAUCUUGUAUACAUAUUUCAGUAGAAACCCUAGGUUGGUGCUCUUUUCGCUUCUCUACAGCACAUUGGAAAAGACAUAUAUCCGACAGUUUUUACAGCUGCAGGAUUCUAAAUAGCUUCACUGUUUUGUUGGUUUUGCCAUGCAAAUUUACAUUAGUUUACAUAAUUUAGUAGCAGGGAUCUAUACUAAAUUACUAUCUAUACUAAAUAGCUAUUUCAGCUAUCUUUUCCUCCUUUCUAGGUGUGAAGCCUCGACAGAAGAUAAAGGCAACCAGAUGACAGGAGAAUAGAAGCAGCAAAGCAGAAGAGGUCGAGAGGCGUAGAGAUUGUCACCUUCUUGCUCUUCUCAAAGAGGCCGACCAAUAAAACCGUGACUAUGACAUGACCCACCUUUGUCUUCAACUCGUUCACGGACUCUAUUUUUAACCAAUUUGGUCGUUCCUACCAGCAUAAAAGCAAGUGCACAGAUUUAAUGCAAAUCAAAUAUGAUUAGUGUUUGUAUAUAAGAUGUUUGAUGACAAAGUAGGAACAUACCCGAAGCCGGAACAAGCCAAGGAGGUUUGACCUCUGAACAGAUGUUUUUGCUACGUCGAGGUUGCUGAUGAAGAGCUCAUAGAGACCCAUACCAAAGACAAGCAUUACAGUUCCUAUGAGAUAAAUGUCUGCAAGUGAAACAAAAUGAUGAUUAGCUUUGUCACUCAUGCAGAAAUAACUGCAUUUCUUUGAAGAAUUUGUAAACAUUCUUACGGUUCAAACUUCAAACAUUUAUGUUGUAUACAGACUAUACAUUCUGAAUAUAAAAGAUGAUAUAUACCUUCAACCAUGUCGUUAAAUGAAUGUAUCAUGUCGUUGUAAGAAUGUUGAUUUACCCCUAGCUGAGAGGGUAAAUAAAAGAGGAACGAAUUUGUGCCAUACACAUGCAGAUCACGAGAAUCACGACAAUCUAAUAGGAUUUCUAGGGGCAACUAUUACUUUUUCAGAUUUGCCGAACUUUCCUUCUCUACCUUUAAAAUUUGUACAAACAUAAUAGAAAACCGCUAUUUUUAUGCCAACCCACUCCCUGCCUGACAAGUCAUCAUUACUCGAUAAUGGAAACAAUAAUAUCUCCCUAUCCGGAUGUGAAACCAGCAAGAGAUAAAAGCGGCUCGUAUUCCCUAAAUCAACCAAAUAAUAUCAUUUUGUGACUCGGAAGAAACUAGAAUACUAGAUCCAUUCAAGAAAUAAGAAAUCUAUUAUAUUCCAUGCAUGUCUCCAUCUCGCAUCAUGGAAGCCUUCUUCCCUAAGUAUAAUACGUAGAAAAAAAAACUGGAUGAUGAGAAGGAAGCAAAAAUAAGUAUUUAAUUUUAGCAAAAACAAGUAAUUAAUUUUUUUCAUCUUCCCGAGGGAAAACAUUACUAGACAAUAAGGAGACUUAGAUCUGAGCUAUAAUGCCAAAUGUUAGGCAAGUGUUGCAAUUUAGACUCGUGCAACCUAGGAUCAACUCCCAUAGAAGGUCCUCUGGACAUGGGAAUAGCCUAGUGAACAAAGAACUAUAUCUAUUUCCAAUUUAGCUAUUAUUCCUUGUCUCUCGGGGCCAGCUGAUCAAGCUUGCUAAAUGAAUAUCAAUCCCAUUAAUAUAUGUCGCCUUAUUCCCUUUGCUAUGCACGAAAUGCUUUAAGCAGUUUAACAGUUUAACUGAUUCGGCAAUAAAAGAUUCUUUUAAUCAUAGAUAGUAUCUUACGAUUACCACGGCCAAGUACACUUCUAUUCAUGUAACAUAAUAGUUUGUCGCAUUUGAUUGGUCUUACCAACGGCUUCCACUAGCAUCAAAAUCAGUUUUCCACUACUCAUGAAGUCCUCUGUGAAGGAGUUGAUCACAUAUCCACAACCCUGCACCAAUUGCUAGGUGUCAGAUGUAUUGCCAAGCGGCUGCAUAUCUUGAUUACUGAAGACACCAAUUGCUAGGAUUCAAAAAGAAGAAGAAGAAGAAGAAGAAGAAGAAGAAGAAGAAGCAAAUAACAAGAAAGAACAGGCAAUUAGAACCAACUCAGGCGGGAUAUAUCGAGCAACAAGCGGUAAGGCAUACUGAGACUCAGACAACGCUCGCAUCUAUAACAUGCCAUUAAAUCCUCACAUUCCUAUCUCUCUGUUAAGCUUUACAUAACAGUAAGUACUAGCAGAAUCAGCGAAGGCAUUCAUAGAUCAUCACUUAAAAUAAGCCAUUUCAGAAAAUUGGAGAUCAUGUCGGAGCACACUCUUCGUCCCAGGUUCUGCAGCUGCGGUACCUCAUCAAACUCUGCACCCUUCGUUACCGGCUAGAUGGUGUCAAUGGAGAGGGUUGUUGACAGGGGCAAGGAAAAAACUUUUCGAUCUCUGCUUUGCGGCGGGGUGUUGGGAGUUGUGGAAGGAGAGAAAAAGGAGAAUAUUUGACAAUCGAUUUGAAGAAAGCGACAAGCUGGGACGAAGAAUUCGCUGGACUGCUAACCAAUGGGAGCUGGCACUAGCUAGCUAACUGUGUCUAUUCAUUCAUGUUCAUGUUGGGUUACUAUGUAUUUUGGGAGCGUGGUUCUUCCCUUUUUUUUGAGAAAGAGGUAGCGCACUACCCUCUUGUAGCGUGGUUCUUCCUUGAAGAAACUUGUGGUUGGUUCGAUUUUUUUUUGGGGGGCUCUAUCUUAAGCCCGUGUACCUUCUUUUAAAAUAGGGUUUAACCCUGUUUAAUAAUAAUAAAAAAAAAACAAUAGUAGAAUUAUCAAAAGAGCUUGCUUAUCCAUUACUAUUACCAUGAUGGGCUGUAGUUUUAAGUAUUUAUAAUCGACGCGAAGAAAGACGGAGAAGAAUGUUUUGAAGAGCAGAGGUCGUACGAACCUUGAGGAAGCAGAGUAUGGAUCCCAUGAGAGAGCCGAAUACACCGAGGAACGUCAUGAAGCGGCCUGCGUAGAUCACCUGCGCAUGCACCUUUCAAUCCUCAGAAACGAAGAGAGAGAGAGAGAGAGAGAGAGAGAGAGAGAGAGAGGAGGCGGGGGGAAGAAGAGAAAGAAAGAAAGAGGCGAAGGCUUUGUCGAUCAUCUGCCUUUUCGACUCUCUCCUCGAGGCUUCUCGCGUCGCUUCUCGCAUCGACGGGAGGCCUGGCGACGAACUCCGGCCGGAGCUUUGAGGGCUCGGCCAUCGACGGAGGAGCGCGCGUGGAGGAGGAGACUGAGGAGCAGUUGAUCGGCCGGAGAAACGGGAGCCGCGGCGUCGUCGUCGUCGUCGUCGUCUUCCUCCUCCCCCUCAUCAUCAUCGAAGGAGAUGAAGAUGAAGAAGAUGAAGCAGCAGCAGCAGCAGCGAUCCUUUCCCUGCCCACGGAUCGUAUCCAUCCCCAUCCUCUUCCCGCCGCUGCUGGCGCAGCUGCAGCUGCUUCGGGAAGGAGCAGGCGCAGAGGCUUCAUGGAAUCUUUUCUUUCUUUUUUUAUUUUUUGGUUGGGUUGGGCUGUGGGCACACUCGGAGAGUUCCGAGGCGGGGGGGAGGAAUCUCCGAGGGGUGAGGAAUGGUGAUUGAUGCUGUGCGUGGGAAAUGAAAUGGAGCAGAAUUAAUAGGAGGAGGAGCGGAGCAAGCAGACGAUGCACUGAAACUGGACGCCGCACGAGAGUGGGCCAAGUGGAUCCGCAUCAUUGAAUCGCAGGGCGAAUAAUAUCGGAAUUUGUGGAGAACAACCCCACCACAUGGCUCCGUCUCUGCCAAAACGAAUGGGUUAAUCAUUGAUAUAAUAUAUAUAUAUAUAUAUGUCGCUCUCCCAUCAAAGUCUCCUAAGUCAAAUUUUAUUCUAAUUCCUUUCCAAAAAAAAAUAUCGAUAAAAAUUUUAAAAUUUAUCUCCACUAUCAUCUAUCGGAAGUUAACUGUCUACCAUUUAAAAAUUUUAAUUUUACUUACUGACUUUUUUGAAUAUUUAAUUUAAUUUGAGCUAAUAAGCGACUCUUUAAUUUUAAAAUUUGAAUGCUUUAUUUAUUUUUACAUUACAAGUUCGGUUAGUAUCUUUCAUAUAAUUUAUGUAACUAUAAAUUUAUUAAAAUAUGCGGUAAAUUUAAACUUUACAUAUAAAGAGCCAUUAAAUCACUUGAAUUAAGCAAAUUAAAAAAUUAUAUAUUAAAAUUAAAAUUUUGAAAUAUUGAAUAGCUUAAUUAGAAUCAGAAUGACCAAUUGUUCAGAUAAAUUUUAUACGUUACUAGCAAAAUUAUUCAUUGAGCAAAAAUACGAGGAUAUAUAUGCACUAGGUGUCGUUAAAUGUAGUUCUAUUGGAUCAUUUUUUUGGAUGAUUGGGCUAGUAAAUUUUAAAAAAUUAUAUAUUUGUGAUAAGUAAUUAAUAAGAUAAAAGUUGGCCAAUACUAUUGAUACACCUCAAAAUGAAGUACAUAUUCCGCUAAUAUUUAAUUUAUUUUGGAGUUAAUGGAGUAUAUAUUUUGCUAAGAUUUAAUACAUUUUGGAGUUGGAGAGAAAAUAUGAGAAAUGUAAUAUUAAAGUACCAGAUGUCUUUUCAUCCAAUGACCAUCACUUCUUUAUUUAUUGCAUUAGCUUUUUUUUAUUUAUUUAUACUAUAAUUUUUUUGAAUAUUUGUAAAUAUUGUAAGGGAAAGUGAAAGAUUUAUACCAUAUUUCAAAAAAAAAAUAUAUAUAUAUAUUAUAUAAAAACAAAAUUUUUUUAUAAAAAAUUGACAUCUACACAUAGGUGUACCCGUAGAGCAAUUUCCUCGUAUUUGAUACACUCCUUUUGUUUUUUUCGUUGAUUGGUCGGCCAGGUCUAAAACGAAGAUUCCAGGCAAGCAGCGAGGUGGCACAGCGUCCUCCCUCGGUGGCUCGGCGAAAUUUAAUUCGAUUAUAUUAUUAUUAUAAGAUUAAAUAAAAAAUAGAUUAAAAUUAUUGGACGGGGCCGGGACGUGGGGUCCACCGCAGCUCAUAGGAGGAGGAGGAGGAGGAGGAGGAGAGAGAGGCUCCGUGUGUCCUAUUCAGCACGCCACGCUUUGUGGACCGUGAGAAUGCGCGGGUGCUGGUGCGGAACAGCGGAAGGUUCCGCCGAUUACUUCGGGAAGGGCUCCAACCCGGACCCCGUCCGUCCUUUCUGUUCCCCCCUCCCGUCUUCCUUCCUCCAAAUCCAAAUUUGUUGCCGGUUCCAUUCCUCUCUCAAAAGGGGGAAACAAAAAAAAAAAGAAAAACACAUUCCCCCCGUAAUUACCGGAAUCAAAAUCGACCGAUCGAUCGAACAAGGGAUCUAUUCUCCCUCUCCCCUACCCUCUGUCUCUCUCUCGCCGCUUCUUCGUCUUCGUCUUCGUCUUCGUCUUGUUCUUGUGGGGUGAGAGAGAGGGAGAGGGAGAGGGAGAGGGAGAAAAGGAAGAGGGUAAGUAAGGAUGAGUUUCGAGGAUCUGGAGGCGGGGCGGGCGGUGCGAAUCGACGGGAGGAAGGGCAAGGAAUCCUCGCAGGCGGUGGCGUCGGGGGUCUUCCAGAUCAACACCGCCGUCGCCACCUUCCAGCGCCUCGUCAACACCCUCGGCACCCCCAAGGACACCCCCGAUCUCCGCGACAGGCUGUAAGUCCUUCCUUUUCUUCUUCUUCUUCUUCUUCUUCUCGUCCUCCUCUCGCCCCAGCAAUCGCUUCGCUUAAUCGAUCUUUCGGAAUUGCCACCUAAACAUAAAUUACAAUGAAGGAAAAUUUAAGCAAGAACAAUAGCUUCUUUGCCGAAAGAGUAAUCUAGGUCUUCUGCCCUUUCGUCCUGCAGACGAACAUAAUGAAUCCGAACACUUAGGUUUUGCCUAAUCCUGUGAAACCAGAUUCUGAAUUCUUAGGCUCACAAGCCCUAGAAUCCCCUGGCUCAUUGUGCUUGGCGAAUGCGCCUCUCCUGGGCCAUGGCAAGGUGUUGCCUUGUCAAGUAGUUCCAACCGUACUUUUGUGCCGAUUAGAUAUAUUAUUUGACGAUUUGUGGAUCGGCUGAUGUUUGCUGUCGGAUUGAAUUGUACUUAUUUAUGAGCCGGUGCGAAAGACAGGUGAGAUAGGGUGGGUGCGUACUUUUUGAGUUUUCGAGCAUUUAGUAUGCCUCGAGGUCUGUUUUGGGGGAGUCGGGAUUCACAAGAAUCUCAGAGUGCAUGUAACAGGGGGAAGGGAUUUGUAAAGUUGCCACUAGUGAAAAGCCGGCGCUUUCAAUAGCAUUUGAGCGCAUCCUUUUCCUUCAUUCUCCUUUCUCGCGAGGAAGGUUAUACGGCCUUUUGGCACUACUGUACGGUGUCGUGCUGUUUGAUGAAUGCGAUCAGUAUAAGUGUCGGCCGCUUUUUCGUCGAAGUGCCCCCUAUCAUCUCUUUGCUCUAAUAUCUCUUUGCUGUAGAAGCAGCUUCUGCUAGGAUCUCAUCUUUAGCUUCCUGCAUUGGCUGACGCUCCAGUCUUUUGUUCACCGGCCGAACGCCUAUUAGAGGUGGCUGCAGCUGGAAGAAAAUCAGAACUUAGGCCAAAUAGGAACUUUUUUUAGUUCACAAUUUUGAAGCACAUAACUUAAUUGUUCAAGUAUCUGAGUGUGCAUUUGAUGUUCAUGGCUAAAAUAUUGUUUAAACUUUGGUCGUCACUUUUAACAGUCCUACGGACAUGCAAUUCGCGAACUAUGCUCAUAGCUAAAAUAUUGAUCAAACUAUGGACAUGCGAUUCAUGAAGCGGUUCUUUUGCAGUUUCUUGCUAUACUAUGUACUCUUGCAGGAAAACAACCUUCACACCCUUGUACUGCCUUAAGAGCUUUAGAAUUACUUGUCCUAGAGUGUUCAACUUUGUUUUAUAUCCGUUUUUCCUUACGAUUAGCUUCUUGAAUUUUUGUACAAUUGAAUAUGGUGGUAUCUUAUUUAUAACUGUAAGACUCUUGUCCAAGCUUCUUUGUAGGCAUGCCGAAUUUAACUAUUCACUUUCCAAUGUGGUUUGUUUUUCCAAGUUAUGAAGGACCUACGUGUUCUACCCUUUUCUCUGUGAUGCUGUUAAUUCACUUAUGUACUUAUCUGCUUGCUAGAAAAACCACAAACAUAUUGGACAGUCAUACUAAACAUUGGUUUCUUGAAGAUUCUAGGAACUUUUUUUUCUUUUAUUAUUGUGCUUAUGCCAUCUAGCUAAAUAUUGUGCCGUCCAAUUAUGUUGAUACCAAACGCUGCAUUUUAUCUAUGUGAAUUUUAUAUCAAGUUUGUGAACCUCAAGUGUAAUUUAUUGUAGAUUUUACCACGUUGCUUAUAGUGUGGAUUUGUUGAUCUAUAGCUUCAACUUAUUUUGUGGGCAGGCACAAGACAAGGGCACAUAUCACACAACUGAUAAAAGAUACUUCAGAUAAACUUAGACAAGCUAGUGAAGCAGAUCACCGAUCUGAAGUCAGUGUAAGUGCUGCUCCCAAUUUACUUUAAGCUACUUGUUUUAAUGACAAUGACUUGAACUACAAGUACAUGUGUGUUAUGAACUAUUUUCCUUAUGUUAUGGUUCUUGUUAUAAAUAAUUCAGUUUCCAAUACAUUUUGUUUAUCGGUGAGAACAUUUUGUUGAUGCCUGAGCAAUCGAUGUUUGGAAUCAAGUUAGCAAUCUCUGGUGUUGGAAUGAGAAUUAAUUGCUCGUUUUUCCUAUAUUUUUCCAGGGAAAGUGUAUAAGGUCACCGAUAACACUAAAUAUUAUAUAGGGGACUUAUGAUGCUAGAAGUGAUUGAGACUGAAAUAAGUGUAUGCAUCAUUAAGGAUUAAAUAGAAGGUACUUAAGCGACUAAAAUAGUGAUGAAGGACAAUUUACAGGGUUUUUCUAAUAAGACUUUUGUAAAGAAUAUAGGAUCAUAAUAUGUAAUGAUCAGGGUUGUGGAAAUUUGUUGUUCACAUAAUAUUUGAGCAUGAAUUUUGAGAACUUUAGCUGCUAGUCAAGAACAAUAAUAGUUUUCUUUUUCUUUUUCUUUUUUUUUUGUGUAUGGUGAAAUCAUAAUUAAACUGAUAAAGUCGUGCAUAUUCAAGAUUCAAUAAGAUUGUCUGACAAAAAUUAAUUCGACCGAUAACAUUUCUAUAAGAACCUUGUAAGAAAUUUUUCGUUGUCCUUAAAAAUCAUUAAAGAUUUAUGCUCAAAAUUUUCCUUUCACAGAUCAAAAUCUCCCCAAUUAAAAUUGGUUCUUGAUGUAGUUCUGUACAGUUGUGAUGGUUGUUCUGGACAUUGAUGAGUUUGUUGAUUUUGGUGGAUUUCUUUCUUUUUGAAUGAUAACAGUAGGGUUUAGGUUUAAUGAAUUUGGAUAGUAGGAUGGUAUAGUGACUGCUUUGAGAUGUAAAAGCUGGAAUUCAGUUGAACAUCCUGAAGGCUGUAGACUGGGAUAGUCAACUGAUCAACAUAUAAAUCCCACUUAUUACAUUCAACUGAUCUAUUGAUAUACAUUAGGGACUUUGUUAAUCUCGUUGAGUACUUAUCCUUUCCUUGUGCCUUAAGGUGAGUUUGUAAUUGCAGGCAAGCAAAAAGAUAGCUGAUGCAAAGCUUGCGAAGGAUUUCCAAUCAGUUAUGAAAGAGUUCCAGAAAGCUCAGAGGCUUGCUGUAGAGAGAGAAACCGCAUAUGCCCCUUUUGUUUCUCAAGCAGCUCUUCCUCCAAGGUGAUUUAUUGAUUUGCACUGUUAAUUCCAGUGUUCUUAUGAAGCCAGCUUAUCUCUUAGAUUUAGUUGGAAUUAGCUGUUCACAUGUUUAUUCUAGUCUAUGCUGGCAUCUAAUUAAAUCUAUUUCUAUCUCUCUGACAUAAGUGGAAGUACUCUCUUUCAUGGCUUGUUCCCUGGAUUUCAUGAUCAUUGUGCAAAUAGAGGGGAUUCAAUCUUCGUUUAAAAAAAAAAAAAUUCUUCUUGAACUUUAUGGCUUAUGCUUUCCCCAACAAGUUCUGCAAUGCACUGUCUUCACCUUCUUCAUUCUUGUGUUUGCAUCCUGCGACAUUCUUGCCUCUUUACAUGUUCAUCUGUACUAAAGAUAAAUGGCAUAACUCUUCUUUUUCCUAAAAAUGGUUGGACAAAUGGGUGACUAAUGCUUAUUACAGUUUUAGUGGAGAUUUUUCAGUAUUGUGCAUGUUUGUUGCUGCUAAUGCUUAAAAUUGCAUACCUUCUACUAAUUGUACAUCUAUGGUUGCAUGUAUGAGUAUAUGAAAGUUAAUAGCUGAAACAUAACGCUUUGAGUUGUUAUUUUCGUGCAGCUAUAAUCCAAGCGAGUCAGGCAAGACAUCAGACAAGUCCAGUGAGCAACAAGCAAUGCUUCUAGAAUCUAGAAGGUGAGUCAGAUGCCUGUCUUUUAUUUUUUGCUGUAAAUUAUGCAGUUACUUAUAGUGAGUUAGUUAAAAGGUCUGAUUGUUUUUCUUAGCUUUCUCAUGCUUUUGUUUUCUAUAUAUUCUUCUUGGGAACCUCGCAAGUCCUUAUGCAACAGUCAGAUUUUACUUUGACGUUCAAGGCUACAAAGCUUAAUUUCGUUUUUUUUUCCGGAAGUGCUUAUUUAUCUGUCAUGCCUUAAAGCCUUAGCAGUUUUUAGUGCACUGUCUGUCUGACUUCUUUGCAAAUGAUAAGCUGGUGCUUGAUUUCCUUUGAAUCAUAUAAUUAAAACUUUUGCACCCUUCUUGAAAUUUGAUGUCCAUUAAAGAGAUAUUUAUUUUGGGGAAAGCUUCUGUUCUAUUAUGUGGAUGACGUUUAGGGGUGAGCAUCGGUCGGUUCGGUUCGGUUUUUGCUGUUUUUAUCAAAAAUGAAUUGCACCGAAUCACUAACACGACCAAACUAUACUGAACCAAAAUAAUUCGGUUGGUUCAGAUCGGUUAACUCGGUUUCAAUAGAAUAUUUUUAUUUGGGUUAAAAACUUGUUGAAGUACUAAAAAUAGGCUUUAAGCAUGAUUAGUUCUAUAUUACAAUCUUUAAUUUGAAGAUAAUAGUGUUUAAAGUCUCUAAUUAUUUGUUUAUUUUCGAAGGCCAAUGUAUAUUUUUUAAAAAAUUAAGACUAAUAUGUAUGAAAUUGUCAAAUAUUCAGUUAAAUCGGUUUGUUUCAGUUUUUCCCGGUUUUCAAUUUUCAUAACCAAACCAAACCGAAAUGCUUACAUAAUUGAACCGAACCAACCAAAAAAUUGGGGCGGCUCAGUUUGGUAAUUCAGUUUGAACCAAAUAGUGCUCACCCCUAAUGACGUAUACUUCUGCAGUCAAGUACAUUAAGAUCCAUCAUUAGGCAUUUUUUGGGCAUGCAUCUUGCUUACGUAACUUACGCCAAAUUCUUUUUUUUCUGUGUUUACUUUACUGGUACAGACAAGAGGUGCUUUUUUUGGAUAAUGAGAUUGUCUUCAAUGAGGCCAUCAUUGAGGAGAGAGAGCAGGGCAUACAAGAGAUUCAGCAGCAGAUCGGCGAGGUCAAUGAAAUCUUUAAGGACCUUGCAGUCCUUGUCCAUGAUCAAGGAGCUAUGAUUGGUAAUUCAUAGCCAGUUCCACUUCUUUUGCUGUGCAUCUGUUGUCUUUGUCUAAUAUGUGAAGUAUUUUCCUUGUAGAUGACAUUGACUCCCAUAUCGAGAGCUCUGUUGCAGCAACCGCGCAGGCGAAAACCCAGCUAUCAAAGGCAGCCAAAACUCAAAAGUCAAAUUCAUCUCUGGUAUGUUAGCUGGGCAUUUCCUUUUCUGCGUGUAUCUGUUUCCGUCAAUGCUAUUAUUGUUUGAUAAACUGUUUGUUUUUUAAAUUUAUUUACUGUUACAGGUGUGUUUGCUGCUGGUGAUUUUUGGGGUUGUAUUGCUCAUCGUAAUUAUAGUCCUCGCUGCAUAGUAUAUGUGGAUAGUGAUUGCUAUUCUCAUUCUCAAGUUUAAUGAAGUAAUGCGUAAGAAAGUGUUUGCACUUCCCAAGUAUCAUACCCUCUGUAGUGGAGGCCGUGUCUUGUUUGUGACUUGGUGUUGGUAUACAAGAAUAUAUUAUUUGCAUAAAACUGUUUUAUUUGCUUUGUUCUGUGGUUUAUGCUUACAUUCUCUAUGUUUUAAUAUUUAGGCAAUGCAUGCCCGCGGGGGCAAGCAUUGCACUGUAUCGACGAUGAUCGUUGUAAUUAAGAUUCUUAUAUUUUUGAGUGGCAGGCGUGUUAGUUGUAGAUGAAUUACGCUGUUGUCAUAUAAUUUACACUUUUAGGCAAAGUUGAAGAUGACAAACCGGAUCACAGGAAGAAAAUGGGAAUACCUGUUGUAACAUAUAUUAUUAUAAAGCUCCCUUUCAGAAAAAAGUGAUAUAUAUAUAUAAUAUAUAUAUAAUAAAACUAUACGUAUAUAUAUAUAUAUAUAUAAAAUUUAUAUUUACGACAUCUUGAUUUGUUCUGGUAUUGCAGCUUCAGGGGUUUUCCAGUGCUACUCUGUUAUGUGUUCAUUUAGUUUCAGAAUAGUCUUUCUAUUAAGAAAAGUGUUAUUUAGCUCAAUACAUGUACAAAUUUUUGCAAUCGAACACUAUUCGAACUUAGUUGUUCCUCUUCCUGCACUGGCAAAAACAUUUAACCUACAAAUAGAUGGUUGGGCUGUUUUUGAUCUGCUGCAAGUAACACAUUUCUGCAAUUUUGCACACAGUUACUAGCAGCUCCUCUUUUAAAGUUUUUUGAAAAACAAUUUUGAUGUUCUUCCAGUUUGCAUCAUGAAAUCUAGGGAUAUUUUUGCACAUCCUCAAGAAUUAAUUUGUGGCGUAGGAUUUGUAUCAAUCAUCCAAUCCAAUUGAGUCGUAAGAUGAUUAAAAGCCUAAUCAACUAUGUAGUAUGGAGAAUUAAGCUAGGCUGAAGCCAGAAUAGUUAGGCUGAUUUUUUAGGCAAAUCACAUCAAUUGCGCAUUGGAUCCAGGUCACUCUCUUUCGGUGAAACAGCGCAACAAGCACUAACUAUAGGAAGAAUCAUUGAGCACAACAUUAUAGUUCAUGACAGUGGUGUUAUAUACGAUGGAAUUUAUUGUUUAUUGCUGCAUUAGCUGUUCCGUUGCGACAAAAGAUGUAUUUUUUAAGCGCUCGCAGUAAAGGUAAUAAAGCACUAUAAUGAAGAUCACCCCCACCUUCAGAGCAGCAAACCGAGAAUCCUGGGAAUCUUCCUGAUGCCAUGAAAUUUAUGGUGUUGCAACUUGCAAGUGAGCUCCAAGAAGUUGUGCUUGUGUAUGUAUUGAAGCCUCCCAUGCACUUAAUCUGUUGGCCCUAGCCACCGCUCAAAAUGCUAUAAUUGGAUUAAGAGUUUUGGUCCUAUUAUAUCUUAUAUAUAGGACUACUUGAACUCUCACAUUUUGCCCCCUUUAAGCCCUAACGUCCUCGUCUCGCUCUCCCCGCUGUAUAAUUUUGGCUCAACAGAAACUUAUCUCACAAUUCCGGCUGGUAACUGGCUCUGAUACCAACUGUGAUGCCUCACUUUUCAGGAGGUUAUCCAUUUUAGGACUACUCUAGUCCUAAUAUACUUAACUCUCUUAAGCUCUUGGCCCUAGCUACAGCUAAGAGUUUUAGUUUUAUUAUAUCUUAUAUGGAGGAUUAUCUGGGUUCUCACAUCUCCACUUAGUAUUCUCUUCUAGAAAUCAUUAUGUGGAAGCAUCUUUUGAAGGAAAAUGAUUAAAUACUACGCUUUUAUUUUUCUAAUUAUUUCUUUGGGAGGUGCUGGGGUUGCUGAUUGAUACCCAUUGCUGGAAAUCAAUAGGUCUUGGGUUCAAGCCCGACUGUACCCUUGAAAUCAGAGCUAUGGGAGGUAGCCUGCAGGCUUUAAGAAUGUUUGUGAGGUGCUGCAUGUGAAUGCAUGCUGAUGCUGCUCAAAUCUUAGUUCUUAUUUUCCUGGAAGAACCAACCUUAAUUUGGAUGUAAUGUGCUAGCUAGAAUGGACCAAAAUUGGGAGUUACUGCAGGGUUUCUUUUAAGAAAGCCUAAGAUGGUAUUCUUUUAUGCUCUCUUUUCUGGCUUCUGAGAUGCUUCAAAGUACUAAAAAAAGGUAGUCUACAUUUGGCAAGCCUAGCAUGUUUUGGAGGCAGAUGGUCCACUUUUGGCUGCUCCUUUCUUACUUCAAGAGUAAGCUUGGAAUAUCUGUUCUUGCUUGUUUAAUAAGCCUUCUUAAAGAUUAAAGAAGGGUGAGAAAGAGAGAGAGAGAGAGAGAGAGAGAGAGAGAGAGAGAGAGAGAGAGAGAGAGGCCAGAGAAUGCCAUUUAAGGCAACCAAGUGUUGACUCUCUUAUGCUCAUUCUGAUUCUUGUUCUGAUUCCCACCAUGGAUGGAUGGAUUUGAGGAUAUCUUCCUUUCUUCAUCCAAUUAAUUAUUUGCUUUAGUUGUCAAUUUGUGUCAGUGCCUCCUUGGACAAUACUCCUUUUUCUUCAAAUUGCACAUGCAAAGCACUAAUAAAAGAAUUGAAUAUUUUGUAUCCAUAUGUUAUAUUGUUGGUGUGUGCUUUAGGCUGGGUUCUAUCAUGAUCAUUCCUAGAGGUUGCGCUUUCACAAAGUUUGUGCUGAAGCCCUUUUGUUACAUUGUUUUACUUUUUCAAACUCACCUUUUUUUAAUACAAUGUUCAUUUUUACAUUUUAGUUUUCACCCUAUUAGCAUUACAGCUCAAAUGCUCCAUCAAGGUGUUAGGAACCAGGAUUAAAGAAAUAUAUGCAGCUAGCUAGGAAUUGAAUCACAUCGGCAUAUAUGGACAAGUCAAACUAAGGGGGACCUCAUCUCUUAUAGAUCACAUGUUGCAUUUUUAAAUCGACCUACCAUUAAAAAUUUGGGUUACAGUUGUAUUUGUGCUGGAUUUCAGAUGGUUUGAUGCGAUAAAACUAAUUGGACGCGCAUUCCAAGCAAAAAAUUUAACGAUGGAAGUUCGGAACAGAACAAAAUUUUGGAGCAUGACACAACUUGUACGAUCUGUUUAACUCUCCGUUCCAUGCACAUGAACACUUUUGGAGGUGUGAUCAGAAUCAUAUGAAUCAAUCAUUACAGAGCAAGAUUUGGAUGAUUCACACAUAUUUUGAGACAGUUUCCUUAAUACAAAAGGUUACUCUUUUCGAUUACCUAAUCCUAUCAUUGCAUUUGCAUUCCAGUUUUCUAGUUUUGGGGAUAGAAGGUGGUUUAGGCCAUCUUCUUUUCUUUCUAUGAAUAAAUGUAUCUACUUGUAAAGUCAAAAGGCAAGAGUGGUACAUUGUCAAGCAAUGCGGCAGCUUUGCAAAAGGAGUCCCCACUCCAAAUCUUCUUCCUUGCCCCUUCACUUUGAUGCAGCUGCUUCUCCUACUUUUGACCACCGGAUCAUGAUUAAUAGAACUCUGUGGUGCAGCUUAGUCUUGGUUGGCAUAUAUAUUAUGGACUCCGCUCGGACCAACACUAUCUUUGAAUUUUGAGAUAUCUGUGUAAUUCUAUUUAUUUUAAUGUCGGUGCUCACCUAGCAGACCGAAAUAAAUAGCAAUGAUUCUUCUAUUGUACUCCUCGAAGAAGAAAAGGUCAGUAUCAUUUGUACAAACAAGCGGAAAAUGUAUGGACAAGCUCUUUAGACCCUAUUUGCUAAGUUGUAAAAGCUAACUUACGCGGUUUGAACAUUUGAUAGGAUAUAGAUGUUUUAUCUUAUCCGAAAAAAUAACUUAAAUAUCGUAUAUAAUAUCCAAUUUGAAUAUUUGAUCAUGCUUUUAAAUAAAUUAUAAAAAUAUACUGAAUAAGAUACUCAUACCGUGACUCAAACACUUUGAUAUCUCUAAUUCCUAAUGAUUCAAAUGGUAUAAUUUAGGGAACUGAGGUGUGAAUUGAGAUUAAUUUUUUAUGAGAGCUAAGAAUGAAUGAUUUGUAAAGUUGUAGUAGAGUAGUGGAGUAUUAUCCGGGUCUGAUCUGGUGGGAUCUGAUCGGAUCCGAUCCAAUUCGAGACGUAGCUUUUGCAUCUAGAUUCUUCCGCCACGUGUCGCCAUCUACUCUUCCCGUUUCUUUCGCAGCAUCAAUAAAUGCCCUCCUCCUCAGCCGCUCCCUUCCCCGCACCCUAAUUCCUCUUCUUCCUCUCUCUCUCUCUCUCUCUCUCUCUCUCUCUCUCUCUCUCUCUCUCUCUCCCUCCUCCUGUGUGGAAGUGAGAAGUGGGUGGUGAUGGCGUUAAUGGCGGUGGGCUAUUAGGGUUUUUGGUCGCGGCCGCCUCUGACUCGCUUGGUGCAGGUCGGGAACGCUUCGAUCUGAUUUUUUUUUUUUUUUUUUUUUUUUUUUUUUUUUUUUUUUUUUUUUUUUUUUUUUUUUUUUUUUUUUUUUUUUUUUUUUUUUUUUUUUUUUUUUUUUUUUUUUUUUUUUUUUUUUUUUUUUUUUUUUUUUUUUUUUUUUUUUUUUUUUUUUUUUUUUUUUUUUUUUUUUUUUUUUUUUUUUUUUUUUUUUUUUUUUUUUUUUUUUUUUUUUUUUUUUUUUUUUUUUUUUUUUUUUUUUUUUUUUUUUUUUUUUUUUUUUUUUUUUUUUUUUUUUUUUUUUUUUUUUUUUUUUUUUUUUUUUUUUUUUUUUUUUUUUUUUUUUUUUUUUUUUUUUUUUUUUGAAGUUACUGCGAUCAAAAGCGAAUCCCGCCUUGCACCAACUGAAUCGGAGGCGGCGAAGCGAUCCCAUGUCGAUUUCUUCUUCUUUUUAAUCGUCCACCGCUUCUCAAGGGAGGUCCUUCUUCUACUGCUUCUUCUUCCUAACCCUUGAUUCGGAUUAUUAUUUUUGUUGCUUUUUUGUGUAAUUGGUUCUCGAGAUCUGACCUGAUUAGUUUGUGUUUUCGAUUGAUCUACACGGAUUGCUGUUCCAAACCAUCAGAUCUCGACUAGAUGAUGCGAUACCAUAACUGCUUACUACUUAUAUGCUGCAAAAGAUCUCGUUUUGAUUGAAAAUUUGUUUGGUUCUUUUUUAUGUGUAUUUUUGUUGUUUGUCCUAAGCUCUCGAAAUUGUGCAGGUAACAGGAUUGCGGAUUGAUCAUCCUUUUUGGAUGCAUGAACAUCUUUUCUAGCAUAUCUCGUUGAUUUACUCAAACAACUUGGUAGUAGUUUGUAGAGGAGGAGUGUGAUCGAAUCGAAUGUCUAAAAUAGAAUACCAUAUUUGGCAUUCAAAUUAUUUUUAGUAUAAGAUAAAUCUCCUUGCCGGUGAAAUAUGCUAUCCUACCAUAUUACGGAUGUAGAGGUCUUUCAGGGAGCAAAAAUCAAACUGCGUGCUUGUCAAUCAUACAAAAAAAUCGUCAUACCGAAUAAGUUAUUAUUGGAUAUCUUAUUUUGACAUCCAAAACAGGGUGUAAAGGUUUUAUUUUCAUUUUGUUCCGCAUCUGCUAUACUCCUAAUUUGGAAUGUCCAAGCUUGUUUUUCUGCUUAUGAUAAUGUCUUGAGACUGCAGAGCAUAUAUCAGUAUUCUUUCUUUAGUGCGUCUCAAUCUUAAGUUUUGUACUGCUUCUUGAAUUGUGCUUAUUUAUAUCACUAGAGCUAUCACAUACUCUACAUCCUCUGCCGGGUUAGGUAUAGCUUAAGAUAUCCUCUUAAGUUGCACAAGGCAUCAUUUUUCUUGUGUUUAAUUGUUUUUCACUUUUGACUGAUCAUUUCAGAUUGUUGAAAUGCUCUCAAUCUUUGUUAAUGCUCUCAGUCUUUGUUGAGCCACCAUAACAAUAAUGUGCCUGACCAGGAACAUUAUUGUUCUUGUUUGUUUGCUCAAGCCUCUCUCCAUAGUUAAUUUAAUUUGGCAUGUAAUCUCCUUUUGUUUAGUUUUCAGGUUAAUGUCUAUGUAAUCGGCACCUCAAAAUUAAGGUUAUAGACAAUUGCCAUUCUGAAUACAAUCUAAUGAUAUCCUGCAAUUCCUGGUUCAUAUAGAUCAAAUGCACUUUGUAUUACUUGUGAUUUAAUUUUAUUUCUUAUUAGUCCUCUUGUUCUCUCCACCUCUCUCCUUCCAGUCUGAGAAUUGUUCCUGUGAAAAUGUUCAGUUGUCUUGUUUAUGAAAUACGUUGAAAUCUACUAUAUUGAGAAAUGUAAUUUUUAAUAUUUGCUCUCUGGUUGAGUUAUACCUAGUUCAAUACCAGUCAAACAGGUUCAGCCAACUUGGUAAUAGCGAUAGAGAAUAUUCUAGUCAGCUUCCUCUAUAUUCAGGUGUCAAUCCAGUCCAAGAGAACAUAACCCAUAGACUAGUUGGAUAGGGUCUUGAAACGGAUGCAAUUAUAAUAACAAAGCAAUCAGCAUUAGAACCAUCAUAACCUUUAAGGAAUAUUAGAGAAGUAGAAAAAUAAAUUGAUUUUGAAGAUAGAUUCCCAAGGUGUUUUGAAAAAAGGAAUGGGAUCUAGAUCUUCUGAUUCAAAUGAAUUAAACAUUUUGGAUCUCAAAUUGAAUGUACAUUAAAAGUUCUUAAAGAAAAUGUCGAUAAAAGAAUUUUUAAUUCAAUUUGAGAUCAAAAUGUUUAAUUCAUUUGAAUAUGAGGUAUUCAACUCCAGAGAUGAAUCGAAAAAGAAAUAAGGCAAAUCCCCUAUGAUACACCAUAGAUGAAUCGAAAAAGAAAUCUUUAUUGGUUCUACCUCCUCUUUUUUAUGAAGAGAAUGAAUCUUUUUAUCAAAGGAUCAGAAAAAAACCGGUCCGGAUGCAGGUUAGAUUCCAAAAUCUGAAUGCUGGUUGAAUCUUUCACUGUGACUGCAUUGUGUCUAAAUCAAAAGACAAUUUCUUCACCUUGUUCCAAAUCCUUUUUUAGUGUUUCACGGUACCAUAUACAUCCUCUUAAACUUCUUUAGAGCUUUGUGCAAAUUUAAUAUUGAAUGUUUGUUUUCCGAUGGUUUAAGAAUUAUUGGAAUUUGUCAGUACUAUUAUGAGCAGUUAUUACACACAAUAGGGUAGCCAGUAUAGUUGGUGGCGGGCAUUAGAAAUUGAGGCUGGAACUUAAAUAUUUUUUAUCUUUCCUGAUACUGGUCAACAUAUUUUCAGCAACUGUCCUCUCUGGCUUUUGCUGAAAGGAAUUAAUCAUGACUUUAUUGACCAAAUUAGGAAAUCUGGCAAAGGUUUUUUUUUUUUUUUCUGGAUAAAGCCAGACAAGUGACGCGUCUGUCCUGUUAUUAGCAUUGCUCUUUCUGUGUUUGCAAGCGAUGCCAAAAUUUGGCAUGAAGUGUUAAAGCCAUGACUAUUAUACUAAUAAGGUCAUAUUGCGAAAUGCAGUGCUCAUUUUGUUGAUAUCACAAAGCUAUUGUGCAGCAUGUAUUUCUUACUUUAAUACAUUCUUCUUGUCGCCAACCUAUACUUAUUUCUGGGGCAGCAUACAGCAGUGCCUUGUGCAUUUUCCUAGACUAUAGCCUUUUGUAGACUGCGAUGACCGGCAAAAUGAAGUUGAAGCAAGGGAAAGAAAAGUAAAAGGCUUAAUUACACCAAGUUUGCAGCAUGUAAGCAUCGUACAGUGACCUUUUAAUGGAGCUGGGUGGAAUUAAUGAAGCAAUCACUGCAGUCUUCAUAUGGAGGUUGAGUAUUUCAUUGAGCUAUAGGAUGUUUUUUGUUUCUCUGCCCUGCUACAGGAUGUUUUUGCUUUUCUUGUCUUUUAGCAUGAUCCUGCAUUAUUCUACCUAUUUGUUUUGGCUAAUUACCAGUGUUCUCGAUCAUCACCAGCACAGUAAAGAAUGUCCUGAUAGCCUGAAGGCUUUUAUUCCUUUCUUUCAUGGGAGAUAUCGAAUCUGAAAUCACUACUCUGGCGUGAAAUCAAAUCUGAAAUCAUUUUCCUGUUGUGAAGGAGAUUUCUGUUUUGAAGGCUUUGCCUCCUAAUCAUUUUGUUGAUCCAGCUUUAAUCACGGUACUUAUUUUGACACUGGGGAUCUUAUUCAGAUUUGCGGUGUAUCAUAUUUCUAUUAUGUGUGGUUACCAGGGUAUCUGGACAUGCCCCUCUCGGAGGGCUGCAUUAUUGUUCUUGAAAAUGGUGCAUUUAUUGUCACAGUCCUUUCAACUUAAUUGCUCUUGUGUUGAUCUUUGGAUUUCGUCGAAAUUCAUUCAGUGGGACUCAGUGCAUGAGCCACGACCAGAAAAGCUACUGUUGAUUCUAAACCUAUCAGAGAUGUAGCACAUUUUGCAGCAAUGUUGUCAUUUUAUUCGUAGAGUUUAAUUUCAUACAAGUUCCUAUAAAUAUAGUGAAUUGUAAAUAUAUCUCUAUAAAGUAGGACAUUUGUAGAAAAGGAUACUGUUGAUUCUAAACCUAUCAGAGAUGUAGCACAUUUUGCAGCCAAUGUUGUCAUUUUAUUUGUAGGGGUUAAUUUCAUACAUGUUCCUACAAAUAUAGUGAAUUAUAAAUAUAUCUUUAUAAAGUUCAAAUUUCAUGUUUUAUUCCAGCAAAAGUCCUAAUAUUUUUAAAUAUGUUCCUUUGGCUUGUUUUCGUUAAAAUACAGUUUAUUUUAUAAGUGAAAUAAUAUUUUUGUCAUCACAAAUAUAUCCUUUCAAAAGUUUCAAUGGUUAAUUGAAGAGUGAUAAAAAGGUUAAUUCAUCUUAUUAACUAACUAUGGUUAAUUAUUUUAUCUAUAAUUAAGUAAUUUUUUCUAACGGAUUCUAACAGUAAGGAUAUAUUUGAAAAUAUCAAGACUAUUAUAGGGAUAAUAUAUGAAAGUUGAACUUUGUAGGGAGAUAUUUGUAAUUUAUUAUGUUUGUAAGGAUGUGUAUGAAAUUAACUAUUGUUUCUAUUGUAUGGGUGUUUUGAGAUUGCUAUUUCAGGUUCUAUAAUAAUGUUUUCUGUAGUUCAAUUAGAUUUUUUUGAUUGCGUCCAGAUUGGAUCAUUGAUGUAAAUUCAGCUCGAAACCCACACCUGAAACUGUAGCAGGUUUCAGGUGGAGUGUACAUGAAAAUCUGAUCCCAGUUCAAACCAACUAAGCGGAAUAGCAGCCUUGAAGUACUGUACUGAUAUUAACAUACUAUUUUUCUAACUUCUAAAACUGCACUUAGUUAAGAAACAUGCCAUGCAUCAACAGUAAUAAAGAUUUAUGCCCUACCGUCCAAAGGUUAAUGUACAUGAGCUUGUUUUAUCAACGGUUUUUUUUUUUUUUUUAUAUUUUGAAAUACCAAAAACUCAGUAGGGGUUAGGGAUGCAAACGGGGCGGAUCUGGGGGCGGGAGAGUUCCCCCACCUUCUGCUCCAUUUCUUAUCGGGGCGGGGCGGAUUCGGGACGGGUUGCUUUUCAUUUUAUUUUUGGCUCCCACUUACCGCUCCAUUCGGGGCGGAUCGGGGCGGGAGCCGGAUUUUUGACGGAUCGGGGCGGAUUGAAAGAAGAAAAGAGUCUCCCACCUCCCGCUCCAUUUACUUGGCGGAUCGGGGCGGAUUCGGGGCGGGUUAUAUUUUUUUAUAUUUUUGUUCCCACUUACCACCCCAUUCGGGGCGGAUCGGGGCGGAGCUCCACCAACCUGGAUCCAUUUGCAUCCCUAGUAGGGGUUUUCAAAUUCUUGGACAAUGGAUGUAAGAUGUAUGUCCUUCUAUUUAAUUGAAGUUCAAGUAAUUUUUUUUUCCCUUUGCUAUUUAUUUGAUAGAAAGUCAAUAAUUUUGAAACUUUAGUUAUUUUUAUUUCUUUAAUUUAAUUUACUGGAAAAAGUUCAUACUAGUAUAUGAAAUAAUAAAAAAAAGUUACACUAAUUAAAUUUUUAUUAUUUUUCUCUCUCUUUCUCUUUACUUCAACACACUUCAGGACGAAGUUAAUAAUGACGACAUUUUGAGAAAGUGGAGUUACAGGGGAGUUUAAUUUAGGCUGAAGUGAACACCAUAAUGCCUCUGUAAAGGUUGGUUUGAGGAAGCACAAGCAGAGGGAGGGGGAUCGGAGCAAAUGAAUAUUAUUAAAAUCCAUAAUCUGUGUUCAAAUAAACCGUAGGUUCCUAUAUAGAUCCAUCGCAUUAAACUUUCCAAAAGUAGUGAAAAAACUAGAAUCCUAGUAUAUUGUGAUCUUCAUCUAAGCAGGACGACCCAAUUCGGAUUCAAAAACAAAAAAUAAAAAAAAAAAUAAAAUUUUUUGACAAUGGCAAAAGAAUAAGUAAAACUGCAAUUUGGAGCUAAAAGAUGAAAUUUGGGCUCCGAAAUGAUGCUGAAGUAAAAAAAAACACAAGACACUAGGGCAUUCGGUUCGAAAUGUUGUUUCUGAAUUAGGGCUGCGUGACCAAAACGAACACCAAAGCGUAUAGUUACGGCCGUUUAACAGAACCCAAGCCCAGAUUGCAUCAAAAUGUGGGCCGUAAAAUUAGUAUGGGCCGUAAAAUUAGCGUUAAAUCCGAUAAAGCCAAUGUCAGCAACCUGUUUCUGGGAAGACAAUCUGCAAAUUGCUUUAAUUUGCUGUCACUGAAACAGUUUUGUUGAGCAAGCUAAGGAGUUCGGAAUCGUUUUAACUAUAACAAAGCAUAACGAUGUUAAAGAAACUUCAGUUGGCUCGACGUUGAUGAUGAAUCUCGUGACAUCUUCUUCUUCCCAGCUGAUCUUCUUCCUGGAUUGUUGAUCUGAAGAAGUACGAAGAAUUGGAACGGCAGGUUCAGUAGGUUUUUAGAUAAGGAGACGCUCGCGGCCUCAGCUCUCGUGAAGUUGCUGCUUUACUGACCCCGAAGAAGGAUCGAUCACCGCGAUAGUUCACCAACAGUCGAGCAGUUAUAUAACUAUAUUUUGAUACUUGUAUUGUGAUUAAAAGUAUCGCUUCUCUAUUCCUUGGUCGGACGAUGUCCUAGGUUACUUGGCUGGUGCGAGGGUGUUUUCAAAAAUUGACUCGAAUGGUCGCUGCCAUUUGCUUCCACUUAGAUCAGGUGAUGAGUGGAAGAUCACUUUCAAGACUUGCUUGUAUGAGUGGCUGGUGAUGCCUUUCGGUGUUUCUGUGAAAAACUCUAGAUUGAAAGAGGAAUUUGCUUGUGUGGGAUCGAUCAUGAUUUUCUUGUGAGUUGGACUUGGUCUUGUGAGAAGUUUCGAUUGGAUCAAGAAUGAAUUGGGUCAAGUGUGUGUGAGGGACACCGGUGAACAUAUUAGACCGAAUUAUGAUUGCGUGACGAGAAUGAAGUAAUCAAAGUGGUGAGUCUCGGGGCGUGACAUUCUGAUACUUCUAAUGCUUUUAUAAGAGUACUAGUGAAUUAUAUAUAUGCCGCAACGUUCGUUGGAACGCUCGUAGUAUUCUACUUUGAUGACAUUUAAUUUACACGUAUUUUAAGGUGUAUAUGUAGAAUUGCUCUUUCUAAGGAAGGCGUACAAUUGUCGCAUCAGUUCUUAAAGGUCAAUUGAUUAUUGAUAAAUUUUAUAGACAUUACAUCAUUGAUUUCUUAGAUAGGAAUCGGGGCGUUUUUUUAGCUGCUAAAUUUUGAUUUGAGAUGAUCUAAAAAUUGAAUAAUAAUUGUUUUUGAGACGACUCAGUAAGCUGAACCAGCUCAACAAGUAAUUACCAUGCUUGUCAUUUCUUACCAUUUGCAUUAACUGUGACAUUAUAUAUUAUAUAUAUAUAUUCACUAAUCAUGUAAUUACUUGUCGAUCGUUGGAUACAUCGAGUGAUGGACACAUGCAAUUUGUUUUUAUUAACACCUCAGGUUUUUGUCACACUUAUGUCGAUUGCCCAAAAAUAAGAAUUUCUAAACGUGCAAGCAAUUGGAACAGCAAAACAUCAAAAACAUUAUGAAAUCGAUAAUUGAAUUUUUAUUAAUUAACAAAAAAACAAUAAUACGAGGAGGAAUCAAUUCAGGUGACAUUUCCAACAAGGUAGGGUGUAUGUGUGGGUAAUUAGAUGAUAUAAAACAACUAAUUUUAGCAAACACCUGCUAGACGAUAUGUUAAACUUUAUAAAAAUUAAGAUCGUACCUUCUGUCAUGAUUUCGAUGUCUAUAUUCGAAUUGUAGACGAUGAUCCUUGCUCUUGAUUCGUCAUCGUCUACGAUGUACAAAGGCGCACGACGUUUCGAGUCUGAUUCUCUUAUUUCCAGAUAUGAAGCUGUCAUAGGAAAUAGGAUUAAGAUUAGAUCAGAACUUCCGUAUAUUACAUAUUUAUAUAUAAUUCGAUAUAAAUAUGUUAAAUCUCAUGUCCGUCCAUAAAAAACGUGUUUAGAUACAUCCUAACCGUUAGAUUUACCGUAUCUUUAUAAAUUGACUUGAAUUGGCCGACCGUAUCAUUUUGAAUAAAUGCCACAUCCGACAAACACCUACUAGAAGAUAAUUAAGCUUUUUGACUCGGCCAAAGCUUCCUGUUGUUAUGUUUACAAUAGUAAGUUUAUAACCACCACUUAUUAACAGUUGCUUAAAAGCAAGCAACUCUAGUUGGCGACAGGAACAAGCACUUCAUCAAAAAAACCAAUUAGAAAAUCAUUAAUCACUCGUUGUCACAGUGAAAACACACUAAAUAAGGGGACAAACAUGCAUACAAUAUGUGCAUUGGCAUAUUUGUUAAAGUCGACAUCAGAAAAACCAAUAUUUCAAUCCGGAGAAAAGCGUCCACAGAAGAAAUAUUAAUUAAUGAUGUUUCUGGGUUGAGAAUUUUCUCUUUCUUUACCUACUAAUUGCUUAUUUAGGUCUAUUAUGGUCUAUAAUAGUAUGUAAUCUCCAAUGCUCGAACGUGAAAGAUUAGAGUAGGAAAACAGAAAAUCAGUAUUGACCAAAUAAAUGUCGCACCAGCUUUAUCAGGAGCUGAGUUUCAUUUAUAAGGUUCACAUAAUUAAAUCCUGCUCCUAUUUUUCAGUUUUUCAGAGCCCUAUUUUUUUUUAGAAAAAUUUCAAAUGCCAUUCGUAUAAUUUUGUAUUUUCUCACUUUAGUGUCCUAUGGUUUAAAGUAUAUUACUUUCGUACACUAUGAUUUUAUUUUUUUUCUUUUUAUUAUCCGUUUUACUAAUUUUUUUUAUUAAAUCAGUGGUUAAAAUUAAAGGACACUAAAAUGAAUAUUUGAUAAAUUAUAGAUAUGGUAUCUGAAGUUUUUUGCAUAUAACUUAACAAAAAGUUAACAGAGAAACUGACGAAAAAAUAAAAUAAAAUAAAAUCACAGUAUACUAAAGCGAGAAAGUACGAAACUAUAUGAUAUUAAAAUAGAAAACCGCGAAAUUACAGAAAUAAUAUUUGAAGUUUAUUUUUUUUUCUUUUCUAUAGAAAAUCGGUCCAAUCACAGUAAUAAAAUAUAACGAUUAUAAUAUAAGCUCUUCAUUUUUGACAAAUGUGAAGUCAAAUUUUGACCGUAAAUUUGGAGGACUAAAUGAUCUCGAAGUGCCCUACAGUCUGUACUAGGCUCGAUCGGUUGCCGGACACCGACAAAUUCUUUUUUUUUUUUUUGUUUUUUGAGAGAUAGUAGUACACUAUCUGUUUCGUUUAUUUCAUUUAGAAAUAAAUUUAGCUGGAAAUGUGAAUCAAUUAGGAUUCGAGCUUGGAUUUCGGGUACCAACCAGUAAAUCCUUUGCCACUUGCUCUAGGAACAGUCGGCCACCGACAAAUUCUUGUCAAUCUGCAUGUGUGGAACCAAAAAUCGCGUUGAUUGGAAUCUAUAUGUGGAAUAUAUAUGCCCAUCCAGUAACUAGAUUCCCCAGAAUCAUUCAUUAAAAAAAAAAAAAAAAAUCCUUAACGCCGGCUUGACCGAAUCCAUGUUCGACCUAACUAAAUUUUAAAUAAGGGAUUAAAAUUUUAAGCAUUUCAUGCAACAGCCAUUUUGUUUGGGUAUUCUUAGCAGGUUUCUUAUUUGAAGCCAGUUUUUGGAUUUGAUCCUGUUCGCUGCAUGUAGUUGCAACUGUACUGCAAUUAUAAUAAUUACAUGUAGAUUUAAAUCAAGUAUUUGGUUUUAUAUAUUUGAACUCAAUUACUGUAGUUGUACUUGUAUAAUGGGGUCUAAUUACAGCAGUCGGAGGUAUGCCAAAAUUAACUCCAGCUCUAACUACAGUAAUUGGAAAGAAACUUUAAAUAAAAGAUUAGCUUAUUACCUCCCUAAUCACCUUUUAAACAGCAAUUACUUUUUCUUUUCUAUGUUGAAGGUAAUCUCACACCAAUAUAUAAAUAUAUAUAUAUUGAAAAAAUAUUUUUCAAUAGUAUGCAGCUAAACAAAUUAUCUAAAAUUACAACACUUUGUACUACACCUAACAAAAUAAAAAAUAUAUAAUUAUAAUAACUAUUGUAUUUUGAACUGUAUGAAUCUUCAACUACACUAUAUUUCUAAUUACAUCCAACUAAACGGCGACUCCAGAAUGUUUUCAACUUGGUAAUUAAUUAUGGGCAGGAAUUAAUUAACUAUUUUUAUGAGCUUUAGCAUAUACUUUAGAUCUUAUGGAAGGAGACAUGCGCGCAAAUUAAUUAAGGUGCUUAUUUUUCUAUUGUCUUAAUUCGAUUGUGGUUACACGUGGAGCUAGAGUAUUAAUUAAGAGCUUAAGAAAAUAUUUUACAUGCCAAUGAAAUUAAAGAGCGGCAACAUAUAUAGAUGCCAUGUGCUAGCAUGUACAUGCUUUCUACUUUAUAUGUAGCCAAUUAAAGUAAGUUUACAUGAAAUUAAGUAGGUAAUUAAGUACUGUUUGUUUCAAAAUGUAGUUUUCGUCUUUGCAUGUACGCAUUUAGGACACCUGCUUUAAUUGUAGUAUAUAUUUGGACUCUGUAUUUACAGGAGCCAAGUAAGCGAAGUGUUGACAUUAAUGCAUUGACAUUAAUGUCUUAAUUUAAUUAUCGUUAUAUAUAACGCAGGAAUAUUGUGGAAAACUUUGUUGUUUUAGUUAAUUAAAACAGCCUAAUGUUACAUAAUGGGCAUGUGAAACUUUGUGGUUUUAGUUAAAACGGUCUAGUAUAUACAUAAUCGGCAUGUGAUAAGUUUCAAACACUGCAGAAUAUUUAAGAAACUUUAUGUAACUGCUGAUUCAUCAGUUUGUCUUAAGCUUUUUACUGACCCCAGUAUCUACGAUCACCCCCACAGCAAGAUGGUCUAAUUAAUCUAGUACGAAAUAGACGAAUAGAUUAGAUAAUCGCUUACUAAUUUUCUUAAUAAACACGACACUAGCUAAAUCUAAAUCUAAAUCUAAAUCUAAAUCUAAAUCUACUCCACUACCUAUAUAUGCUCACAGCUGUCCAACAACUUCACCAUUUCCACCAAUAAUUUUUCCACCGCAACGUAGCAACAGUUUGAACCAUUCUCUCAUCCCACGUGUUAGGUAUGUAGUUUGACCAAGAUAUCUAUUUUGAAAAAUAUUAAAAUUAGAGGACAGUGAAAAUUUACAAAAUGGAUAGUCAAUCUAUUCAGAAAUCGAAAUUGGAUCAUGUUGUUUAUUUUAUUAGCCUGCUUAGAUCAACCUUGUCGCGAUGCUUCUGGAUCUUGCAUAUAUCUCGUAUUCUCCCACGUCUACGCCUUAAGUCAUGCAUCAAAUGCGUUAGAUAUGACAGAUACAAAUCGAAGAGAGCUACCGGAGUCCUGUUCUAUAUUCACAUUUCAAACUUCCCGAAAAUGUACGCAGGUGAAAAUUCCAUAAAAUAAAAAAUAAAGAGAGAGAAGAAGGAAGAAAUUUCUUAUACGUUUAGAUUCUCUCUCAUAGAUUGUACGAGAGUAAAAGGGGAAUGUACUUAAAAAAAAUCGAAGAUGUAUCACAUGGUCUUUGCAUGCGCUGUCACGGAAAUUACUCAUAUAUAUAUAUAUAUAUAUAUAUAUAUAUAUAUAUAUACUCUUUAAUUAGUACGUAGUGAAACUCAAAUGUAGUAUUUACUUAUUUAUCAACCAUAUUAAUCUAAUUUUCACUACUAAGCUAGAUAAUUCAAUACAUAACACCCGAUAGAGCUCUCUAUGGCUAGUGCUUGUACUAGGUAUUUAUAAAGCUCCGAUCUUAUGACUAGUGCUUGAUAUAUAUAACUAGGUGUGCAUGCGACGUGUGUGUAUAUUAUAUAUAUAUAUAGUAUAUAUAUUAUAUAUAGGCUUCGUUGCUGGCUCCACUGUACAUUACUUCUAAGUUGGUGAAUCCUAUAUUAUGUAUUAAAAUUGGCGACGUGUUGCUCGUAGGGGUCGAACGCGGGCUCCUUGGUGAGGUUUUGGACCUCGGAGCGGAACCUCUCCAUGGCGGCGAGCGGCAGGCAGACGGGCACGGCGGUGCCCUCCUCGCCCUUGUCGUUCUUGUAGCGCGAGUAGUAGUUGGCGACGCCGAGGAUGGGGCCCUCCCCGCCCUUGGCGGGGCCCCCGUAGACAGCCUCCCCCCAGCCGAAGUCGACGUCCUUGAAGCCGGCGUGGCUGAUGUCGGACACGAUGUACGUCCGCGCGACGGUGAACAGCGGCCGGCCGCGGAGAACCAUGAGGUCGGCCACCGACUGCAGGUAUUCGUAGGUGACGUUGGCCUUCGCCUUCUUCACCAGCUCCAGCGCGUACCCGAUGGGGCUGCCCGUGAGCUUCUCGGCGGUGGACGAUGCCACCGAGAAGGCGUAGGCGUUGCCGUAGUAGCCCGGCGGCACCGGGAUGCUGCUCCGGCCGCGCGCGUUGACGAUGAACGACACGCGCACCUCCUCGUCGGGGCCGUACCCGAGCGCCGCCGUGCGGCUGCGCCAGAUGCAGGACGUGAUGAGCUCGAAGCGGCUGGAGGAGGCGCGCAGGUGCGGCGGCGCCCGCUUGCGGAGCGCCGCGAUCUCCUUGGGCCCGAAGAAGAAGCGCUCGCGCACCAUCUCGCUCCGCGGCACCGCCAUCAGCCUGUCCGGCCCCCCCGCCGACGGCUCGUACUCCAGGUGCACGUGCGUCGGCCGCGGCGGGCUGCGCGCGCUGAAGAACUCCCGCGCCCACACCGGCGCCACCGACGGCGCCGCCGCCCCCCGCGCCAUCUCCCCUAUCGCCUUCUCGAACUGCAUCCCCCCCGGCGCGUCCGUUACGCAGUGAGAGAACCACUGCCCGAAUACGAAUCCUCCGCACGCCAGCCGCGUCACCUAUAUAUAUAUAUAUAUAUAUAUAUUCAGCAGAAAGAAAGAAAGAAAUAAAUAAAUAAAUAAAUAAAUAAAUAAAUGAUUAAAACAUCGUUCUUUUUCUUUUCUCUCUUCCUCCCUCGAAAUACAGUAUAAAAUCUUUCUCGAAAAGAGAGCCUUAAUAUUAAGUUAACUAAUUCUCUCUCACCUCCAAAUUUUUCUUAAUGUUUUUUUUUCUUUUUUAACAGCGUAAGUUUUUAGAAACAAACGGUAUAUAAUUUUGCAAGUAGGGUAGCGGUAGCGGUGCUGGUACCUGAAGGUAGAGCAACGGGCGGUCGAUGACGCGCUCGUCCUCGCCCGGGGCGAGAUCGAAGACGAACUGCUCGAAGCAGGGGAACGGGGGGCCCUGGACGUCGCCAAAGUCGUCGACGGUGACGUCCGCGUCGGCCUCGACGAACAUGAGGCCCUGGCCGUUGCAGUCGACGACGAGCUUCCGCCCGGCCUCCUCGCGGAGGCGGCCGGCGAGCGGGUAGUAGUAGACGAGGGCCUCGGCGAUGGCGGCGCGGAUGACCUUCGCGGGGUCCUGCCCGGCCUUGGCCGGAUCGCCGCGGUAGAGGUGGAUGCCGGCGCUGUAGAACCGCAUGCCCUCCUGGUCGUCGAGGUCCGACAGCGUCUUCACCUCGCGCGGCGUCGGCUUCGCCGGCCCCACCAGCACCGGCUUGCCGCGGCGCACUGCGACGGUCGUCAACGGCGGCGCCAUUUAAUGUAACUGAACUGAACACUACUUAAUAAUUAUAUUAUCUAUAUAUCUCAGAGCUCAGAGAUUGAAGGUGGAUUAAUUGAGCUAGCGUAGAUAGAUAGAUAGAUAGAUAGAUAGAUAGAUAGAAAGAUUGUUUAACUUGUUUGGUUAAUUAGUUUCUCACCCAAAAGGGAGCUUUAUAUAUAAAUGGGCAUCGAUCAUCAAGAGUGGGAGGGACGGGGUGGAGAGAGAGUCAAAAUGGAGUAGGUGGGUUGGUGGGAGGCUUUGGCAUGUAGUCCUCCUUGGCCUUUUCAAACUACGUGUGAAGAGCGCACGUAGGAGCAACCCCACCUACCACUUACAUGCUGCAGGGUAUAUGGUACGGCUUGGGAAUUACGAAACUGUUGUUGAUUAUUUCUAAUAUAUAGUUAUAAUAUUUAAAGAUUUAUUUCAUACAGUUCUUUUUACACUUUUUUUUUUUUUCAAAUAUUCUCUGAUUUCUAAAUAUAUCAGUCUAAAAAUUUUGGUUCAUUCAUAUACGUUCUUACCGUUCUAUUAAUUUUUUAUCGGUAAGUAAUAUAACUAUUUUGCUCUUAUAAAUUUAUUAUUGUAAAAAAAGUUAUCUUUUUUUCUCUCUCCUCGCCUUCACCGCGACAUGUGUAGCGUACUUCAUUUUUACGCCAUUGCCGUAGGAUUCAUAGUCGUUCUAGAUAAUUUGAGAUGGUGAGAAAAAUGAGGGACUUUAUAUAUAUAAUAUAUAUAAUAUAUAUAUAUAAUAUAUAAUAUAUAUAUAUAAUAUAUAUAUUAUUAGAUUCGCUUAUGGUGCUUGUAAAAGUACGAAGUAUUUGGUGCUUGUAAAUUUUUUAACCGUAGAUCUAUACCUUUGAUAAUUUUCACCCGUUAGAUUAUACUAUUCAACCAACCACCUACUCAAGCCUAUGGGGCCACAUCAUCUUAACUGCACAUCUUUUAAUCCAAGAGACUAAAAAUUACAACACCAAUAAUUGUACUUUUAAAAGAAUAGGAGCUCAAUUAUAUAUAAUAUAUUAUAUAUAUAUAUAAUCUAUAUAUAUAAGAGAGAGAGAGAGAGAGGGAGAGAAGAGAGAGAUAGGGCCACUAUGCUAUUAGGAUUACAGCAGCCCUGUGUUUCUAACUUUCUAACCACCAUCAAUUUGAUGGUGGUUAAAAAUAAAAGGGAAAAAGAGAUGUUGAGAAAAUUGGUGUCUUAAUUCUCUUAUCUUAAAUUUCUCUCAAUAUCUCUUUCCUUUUUAUUCUAACACCCAUCAAACUUGAUGGUGGUUAAAAUUAGGAGCACACGGGCUGCUGUGCUACCUAAUAAUCACAGUAACCCUACUCUCUCUCAUAUAUAUAUAAGGGCGUGUUUGGUUCGAAGUCGAGAUCGGAAUCGAAUCGAAUUCAAAAUAUAGCUGGAAUCGGAAUCGGAAUGACUCAUUACCUAAUUUGUUUGGUUCAUCACCUGAAUCGAAUCAGAAUAAAUCAUUCACCAUGUCGUGUUUGGUUCAGAUGGAUAUAAAAACGUAAUCAAAUUAAUAUACUUAACAUUAAUCUUUAUAAUAUAUUAAUUUAAAUACAAAUUAAAUAUUAAAAAUUUACAUCAAAAUUUUGAAAUAAUAUCAAAAUUUUAAAUCUAUUUUUUUUUAAAAAAUUAAACUUUGAAGUUGAGUGGAUAAUUCAAAAUAUGAGACUAAAUUUUAAUUUAUUCAAAUUCAAACUUAAAAUUAUAAUUUUAAUUUUAAUUUGAAUUCAUAAAUUUAAGUUAAGUUUGAAAUAAAAUUUGAAUAAACUUUAUGUAAAUUAAAAUUUAAUUUAAAUUCAAAUUGAUAAGUUAGAUUCAAAAUAUUUGAUUAAAUUUUAAUUUUUAAUUUAAGUUCAAAUUAAAAUUUAAAAUUAUAUAUUUAAUUUUUAAAUUUUAACUCAUAUUUUAAUUAAAAAAGUAGAAAAAAUAAAUUUAAUCCGAAUAAAUAUCGAUUCCGUAUGGAUUCAACUUCCAAUCUGACCUUCUAUGCCGGAUUGAAAAAAUGGGUGAUUGAGCGAUUCUCAUUCCAUUCGGGAAUCGGAAUCGGAAUGGGACUUCCACGUACUAAACACCCACAAACAGAUUUAUUCAUUUCCAUUCCGAUUCCAUGGUGAAAAAGAAGCGAACCAAACACGCCUACAGAGUCCGGCUGCUAUGCUAUCGAUAGCACCAAGCGCUUGGUGCUUCAAGUUUUCUGCCGUUAGAUUAAUCCCUUUGAUUAUUUUUACCCGUUCGAUUAUACUAUUCAACCAAUCAUCCAUUCAACCUUAGUGGGUCCAUAUCAUUCUAACUGCACAUCUUUUAAUCCAAUGGUGGAAAACUUAGUAGCACCAAGUAAUUGGUGCUAUUAAUAGUAUUCUAGCCAGGUUCUAUAUAUAUAUAUAUAUAUAAAAUUCAGCUACUAUCCUAUUAAUAGGAUAGAGACCAUCGUCCUAUCAAGUCGUUCUUGAUGAUAGAGAUGCCGAAUCGAUGAUCGGAACCAUUAAAGUUGAUCUAGAGUAUUUGAAAUAUUUAGAAACUAAAUUUCAAAAAUUUUAAAAAUCAUUUACAUGGUGAUCAAAGAAUCGUAAAAUCGACAAUUUUUGACGGCCUAUAUGAGCUGUUUACUUGUUUAACGGUGUAGAGCAAUCUAAACUGUUUGAAUUUUUUAUAAAAUUUUUUUUUAUAUAAUUUAGAUAAUAUUUGAUAACUUUGAUCACAAUUUGAGAAAGUCUAACAUCUAUUUUAAGAAGGUUAUUCAUUUAUGACCGUUAAUUUUUUCGACUCUUCGAUAGACUUAAUAAUGAUUUUUUAAAAUUACAAAAUUCGGUUUUUAAUAUUUCUUAUAGUGUAGAUCAAUUUNAAUGAUUUUUUAAAAUUACAAAAUUCGGUUUUUAAUAUUUCUUAUAGUGUAGAUCAAUUUUAACUGUGCCGAUUAUCAAGUCUCAAUUCUAUUAAGAGACUCUCUGUCUUAUAUAUAUAUAUAUAUAUAUAUAUAGAGAGAGAGAGAGAGAGAGAGAGAGAGAGUAAAAAGGUUAGUUUAUUUUUUCACUAAUUGUGGUUAGUUUUUAAAACUCAUGGUUAUCUAAAUUUUGAUAACAGAAAAAUAUAUUUUUAGACGGAAGAACUUUAAUGGAGGGUUAAAUUGCAUAACUUAAGUUUUAUAGGGCUAUAUAUUUGCUAUUUGACACCUUUUAGGGAGGCAUAUAUAAUUAUUCCAUAUUUAAAAUCAGCAGAAAUAAAAUUAAUUUUAUAUUUUAAAAAAUUAGGUUAUUUUGAGAAUAAAAAAGUAGCAUUUCUAUAGUUAGAUUAGAAUACUGAGAAUAAAAGUAAUUAUAAUUUUAUAAUAAUAAUAUUUUAUUUAAUUAAUUAACAUAAAAAUAUUAAUUAAAUAAUAAUUUAAUUUAUUUAAUUAACUAAGGAAUCAUAAAUGUUUCUAGAUAAUCACAAAUGUUAAUCAAUUAAUUAAUUAAUUAGUUAAUUAUUUAAUAGUUCAUUAAUUAGUUAAAAAAUAAUUAUAUUAGUCAAAAUAUUAAUUAGUUAAUUAAUAUGAAUAUUAGUUAUUGCAUAAACAUUCUAAAUAAUUAAAUUUUCAAUUAUCUAAUUAGUUUUAAAUAAUAAAUUAAUCACUCAAAUAUUUAAUUAAAAAUUUAUUAGAGUAAUAAAUUAUUAUCUAGUUAAUUUAAAAAUUAAAUAUAAUAUAUUGAUUAAUUGUAUUUUAUCAUAAAAUUAGUAUAUGUAUAUAGAGAAAUUAUAGUUCCACCAAAACCUCAAUAAUUUUUUUUUGGGGGGGUUGAAAAUAAGGAGUAGAAUAAGGCCCUGAUUCCUCUUAUUCCUCUCUUAGUUCCCGAACCAAAUAAUACCCUCGGAAUUGUAGCAUAAUAAUUAAGGUCCUACUAAAUAAUGCCAAACAGAUCCUUUUAUCUGUAAGAACUCAAGUUAUCGAAAAAAUACACUUUUAUUUUUUUUUUUGAGAAAAAAAAAUACUUUUAUUAAUAUUUUUUAUUCUAUUGCGGUUUUGCAUAUUUUUGUUUUAUCAUCUCAUGCUUCAGAAAGUUAUACUUUACGUACUCCAUGGAUUAGCCGUGUUUUUAUUUUGCCACGGUGUGGUUCAAUAAUUUAUACUUAAUUGUCCCCCUGCGUUAAUGCAUUUUUACUUUGCUAUCUUUGGUUCAAAAAUUUAUACUUAACUAUUAGUUGGUCCUUAUUUUUGUGUUAUUGUAACCAUUUAUUCUUGAACAGGAUACCACCAUGUAACAUUAGUAAUAAACUAAUUGUAAUAGAUAUUAGUAAUAUAUAACAAAUCUUUAGAAUAUGGCAAAAUACAAAACAAAUAUGCUUAACAUUAAUUAUAGUUUCAAACUAAGCAUAUGUAGCAGGUGAAAUUGGAGAGAAUAUUAUCAAGGUGCUUCAUGGAUCAAUCUUAUCCACUUCAAUAACUUUGGGCCCACCUUUUUCCACUUCUGCGUAGUUUACGCCAUUUUUGGUCGAACCCACGCGUGCUAAAUCCCCAAUAACGAAAUUUAAAAAUGUUGGAAGGUUAGAGAGAGAGAGAGAGAGAGAGAGAGAGAGAGAGAGAGAGAGAGGAUUCACUCAAAGCUGUUUUUUUACCUUAUUUUUCUACAUGACCUUUGGGAAGAUUACUAUUUAAGUUUAGUUAUUAUUAAUAUAUAGUACGUACGUACUUAAAUUUAUUUAUUAUUAAUAGUGAUUUAAUGUUCAUUUUUUAUCGCUAUAUAUAACGAUCUAGCCUACUUGUAUAACUAACUUAUUUUUCAUUCAGCGUAGGACGUCUUUCUAUGUUUAGAGCCUAAGCUUUUUAGAAUGUCAAUGCUUUAAGUCCAAUUAUUAUUAUUAUUAUUAUUAUUAUUAUUAUUAGUGAAUAAUUAGUUUAGUCAUUAUUGCUAGUUAUUUAUAAUUUAUUUUCCAUCUAUGUGUGUAAUGAUACAGCUUGCUUACACAAAUAUCCAAUAUAGGACUAUUACUUUUAGGUCAUGACCCUAACAACAUUUUAGAACAUCAAUGCUUAAGCUCAGUUAUUAUUACUGGUAAAUGCUUAUGUUCAGUUAUUAUUACGACUAUUGGGUUGUCACAAGUUUUUACAAUUCAUUUUUCAUUAAUUUAUUUUUAAUCCGAUGUGGAAUUUUAUGUGGGACUAUUGAGCAUCUCAAAGAUUCACGGGGUGUUUAGAGUCCAUUUAUUUUGUUUCCAAUAUGGACUAUUGCAGUAUUACAGAUUCUCCCUUUUAGACUCUAACACGCGUCUUCGUCAUGUCUCGUUUUCUAGUCCAACGAUUCAGCCCAUUAGAAUUAAUAAUUUGUUGGGUUCAAACUAUCGGUCUAAAAUAUUUAAACUUAGUUAUUAUUAAUAAAAACUCUCAAUCCUUAUAUUUCUAUUCAUAAAUUUUUUCACACCAAUGCCGAAUUAUUAAAACGAAGCGUCGAACUGCUUCCUAAGGUCUCUCUCGAAAUGAUACAUUUCACUUUUCCAUUUCGUUAUUAUCUUUAUAAUUAAUAAAAAAUUAUGAUCCAAUUAUAUUCCUAUUUGUUUUAUAUUUCUAGCUAAGCUGUCCAAAUUGUAGUUAAUUAGAAAGUGGUUUUAGUCCGAGACCUUUGGUUACUAAUUAAUUAAUUAAGCAGUUCUUGAUUUAAUAGAAAAUGAGAGUACCCCAUUAUUCUUUUUAUAUUUUAAUUGUGUUUACAAAAAGUAGUUAUAUAGGAUGCAACCAUAUAGAAGAUACACUUUUAUUUUUUAGGCAAAAUUGUAGUAAUCAUAUGUUAACAACCCAUACACAUACUAUAUAUUAUAUUAUAUAUUUAAAAUAAUGACAAUCAAUUCAAAUCAAACCUAUAUAAUUGAUUGGCCAACUUGAUUCGGUUAACCGACUCAAAAUCUCUAGCAUAUUUAAAGAAGAUUUUUAUUACAAUCUCUCAAUAAAGUUCACAAUUAUAAAAUUAAAGAACAAAAAAACAAUUAUCACUUAGAAAAUUUUUCUAUACGAGCCAUAUCAUUUCAAAAUUGGAAAAUAAGCAUGAUAUAAGAGCAAAUGCUUUUCAUUUGAAUUUCAACUGUACUUGAAAAUGCAUUUGAAUUAAUGUCAUAUUCCAAAAUUCUUUUGAAUUCAUACAUUUUCAAAUCAUAUUUGAAAUUAUACUACAUUCGAAAAGCUCAUUUGAAAUUAUACCACUUUGGUAAAACUCUUUUUUCAUACCAUAUUUAUAAAUUGCUUUUGAGUUAAUACCGCAUUUGUAACACGCUUAUGAAUUAAUAUCAUGUUUGUAAAACUCGUUUAUAUCAUAUUUCAAACUUUUUAAAAUUAUAUUUUUUGAAUUCACACCAUAUAUCAAAUAUCUUAUUAAUACAUAUUUUAUUGAAAAUAAUGGCCAAUUCGUUCAAAUCAAACCCAUGUAAAUAUGUAAUAGAUUGGUUAAUUAACUUGAUUCGGUUAAAAGACUCAAAUCCGAUAAAAUUGCAAAAAAUCCUCUAAAGCAUAUAUUAUUGUGGCACAUGCAUCCAAUUUGAUACAAUUUGAUCUUGUUCAUUUUGAACAGUUGAUUGAAUGAUUAUUUUUAAUCAACUCCGGCUUCAGCUUGGGUCAUUUCAAAUCCAACUAAAAUCUGAAAUUACUGAAUGACAAAGUAAAUUUAAACUUUAUUUUUUAUUAUUAUCAGACUUUAUUAAUUAUUGGAUGAAUCCAACAUGAGUGACAUACACAAAUAUUAAACAUAGUGGGGAAUAUUUAUUUAUAUAUAUUAUGCAGGUUUGUACACAAUGUUUAGUUGAGCUGCUGAGGUCCUGCUAUGCUAAAAUGUAGGUCAGCACACAAUAAUGCAUGACUUAAUCAUCCUGAAAAUUAGGUAAAUUAAUUUACAGUACUUGCCCCUUUUUCUUCUUUGAUGUGUACUUAAUUUGCAUUCAUAAUGUUGUGGUUGGUGCACCAACUUUGUUGAAAAUCAAAAAAAAAAAAAAAAAUGAGGUGGAUCAUUUCCUACGUAUAGGAUGCAUCUUAAUUACUUUGAUGUAAAAUCAAAUCCCCACACUGGAUUGUAGACCAAGCCAUUUAAUUAAUUCCAUGUGAUAUCGAAAUUAAUCAUCCACCUCAUUUUGUUGAAAAAUUUAAAUAAGAAUUAAUUGAUUCGUGGAAAAAAUUUCAAAUCCUUUGACGGCUGAUGCGGUCAAUCUGCAGGCGUAAGUCUCCUUUUGGAUAGGUCAAAAUAAAUUUAGAUUGAAAUAUCCCAUCGGCCAUUUUUAGGACGUUGUUCGAUUUUGACCGUUCAUUUUAUGCACGUUUAAUGGACUUUAUUAUGAUUUCAAAAAAUUAUGAAAUUUAUUCUCUAUAAAUUUUAAAUAUUUUAGAUCAUUUUUAAUUAUAUGGAUCGUCAAUUUGAAAGCUCUAUCACUGAAAACAACUUACAAUUUGAAAGCUCUAUCACUGAAAGCUCUAUCAUAUUUAAUUGUAUGGUGGUAAGUGAUUGUAGAUGGAAUAGUUUUUGAUCCAAGGGGUAUUAAUAAUUAAGGAGUAGAUUCAAGGGCUAGAAACUUAGAAGCACCAAAGGAUUGAUGCUUCUAAAAAUAUUCUAACUCAAUUAUAUAUAUAUAUAUAAUUAAUUAAUUUUAAUUUUUGUGUAUAGGACGCAUAAGCUACUGUCUAUCUAAAAUUGUUAGAUAAAAUAGAGUUAGAAAAAAAAAUAUGGAAAAUUUUUUUUGCGUUCUCGGAUGGAAUUCCGACUAAUCGCAAUAUACGAAACACAAUAUCAAAUACAAAAAUAAAUAAGAUAUUUUUUCAUUAUACUUUCUCACUGCACGUAAUGCAAUUUUUUCGCAAGCCAAACGAAGCCUAAACUGAUCCAAGCGAGUCACGACUCGCGAGUUCACCAACCGGCCGAGGGGAGAUUACGACCGCACGCAUCAGUGCUGCUGACCGUUGACGGGCACGCAAAUUAAAAUGCCGUCCAGCAACUCCUGGCCACGCCAGCGCCCCCACGGGCCCCACCACACCAAUCCCAUCCAUCCUGAGCCUCGGGAAUUUAUUAUUAUUAUUUUUAUUAUUUUUAAGGAAAAACUUAUUAGUUGUCACCAGUCCAUCCAUCGCUCGCAUUGACUACACGUGUGUGCACCCAAUUAAUCUUAUAUAAAUCAAUUUAUCACUAAUAAAAUAAAUUUCAAAUUGCCCGUGCUGUGUUAUACUCAUAGUUAGUUAAUUCAGAUUCCACAAAUAUAAGACACAAGUAUAAUUCAAAUAAAAUUUAUAUCUUAAUUUUUAAAUUUGUUAAAAAAUACAAUGUAAAAAAUAGAUAUGUCAAUUAUUCAGACACGCAAUUUAUAUUGAUAUUAUAUGUUCACGUAAGGAUUUAAGCGCCAUGGCGCGGGGUCGUGCCAGAAAUUUACCGACACGGUACAACAUGGUGUGUGUCGAGCCGUGCCGAUGCGUGCAUGUCAAAAAAAUUCUUGUGUACCGACACAUAAUAGUAUGAAAUAUUUAAUUUCUUUAGCAACAGAAUAUUAUAACUAUUUAUUAUGUCUUUUUAUCACAUCUUUUGAACUUUAUUGAGUAAAUUACUUACUAAUUUAAAGAAUAGAGAAUUUUGAACUGUGCCAUCGGCACGGGAUUUGUAUCGUGCCGGUAUCCUGUUGGCACGGUACGGUAUGGUGGAUACGGCCCGUGCCGACGGAUACUUAAAACCUUGCGUUCACCAAUUAAUAAUUCCAGAUCAAAAAUUCGGCUGUUAAACUAAGUUUUUUUGUCUAAAUUUAUAUUACUAGCAUAUAUACAUAGUUAUAGAUUCUUAAGAAUAUAUAAAAAAAAAGAGCUAUAAAAUAAAGUAAAUUAAAUAAAAUAAAUAAUAGCAAAUUUUAUUGUCGUCUCCAAAUUUAUCUUUUUCAUGAUACAUAUAUUUCAAAAGUUCAUGAAGUUUUUCAAUAAUUCGCGAAGGCGGAAAGAAAUUUUAUCCAAAAAAAAUUGCACGUUUUCUUGGCCGAAUAGUUCGAUAUAUGCGAAUUAUUUGCGAAUAAUAAAUCUAAUCUAAAAAUUCGGAUAUUAUUCUGAUUUUUUGGAAAUAAAUCGUAUACAGACCGUUUUAUUCGAAUUUUUAAUAAUUUGCGAAUAAUUUACGAAUUAAUUAACUAUGAGUACAGUGUAUUUUCACUUUGUCCUUGUUGUUGGCUUAAAAUUACCAACUUUUUGUUUUGUGAUGGAAGAUAAGUUGGAUCGAGUCACAUUCGAAGUGAAUUUAUUUGUAUUUUUUUAAUCAGCUCGAGGUCUUGGAAUUAAUUAUAUAUUAGCGCCAAUAAUGCGACACCUCAGUAGUUUAAAAAAUUUUUAUUUUGUCAUUCUUGAAAAAAUUAUACUUAACUGAUGUGUGCUUAGUCAAAAUUUUUUAUAUUUUAUCCUAUUUAAUAAUAAAUUUUUGUAGCGAUAAAAUUACGGAAUAACCGAAUGCAACUUUGUAUGAAAAGGCCCAAAAAAUGAGAUAAACUCCCUGGUGCAAUUUGAAGUUUACCUUUUUGUUAUAUAAUGAUGAGAUGAUGUGUGGUCUAAUUAAGAUUACAAUAUAUUGUAAUUUUUUACCCAUCAUCUCUAGCGCAAAUGGUAAAAGAUUUGAUGGUUGGUAUGCGAGGUCCUAAGUUUGAAUCCUAGUUGAUUCACAUUUUCAGCUAAGUUUAUUUCUAAAUGAAAUAUACGAAGCGAGUAGCAUGCUACAUAUCUUUCAAAAAAAAAUAAUAUUGUAAUUUUUCGUGCAACUGAUCUCAAAUGGUGUAAUUUUAUAGAUUGAUUUAGAUAGUCACUUGAUAGUACUUAAUUUGUUUAUUGUAUAAAAAUAAUAUAUAUAUAUAUAUAGUCCGACUGGGAUAGUAUCGAUAGCACCAAAAAUUUGGUGGUAUCAAGUUUUCCACCGUUAAAUUUAACCCUUUGAUUAUUUUUACCCGUUAGAUUAUAUACUAUUCAUCCAACCACCCACUCAACCCUAGGGGGCCCCCAUCAUCCUAACCGUAUAUUUUUCAAUCGAAGAGCUAAAAAACUAAUAGUACCAACAGCUUGGUGCUAUUAAUAGUAUUCCAGCCUAGUUCUAUAUAUAUAUAUAUAUAUACGCUCUCAGGAGUACGGAGGCCUCCGUGCUCCUGAGCGGUUUUCGAUAAUGGAAUUUUCGAAUCGACGAUCGGCUCCGUUAGGCUUGAUCUAGCGUAUUUGAAAUUUCUAGAAAAUAAUUUUUGUGAUUUUUAAAUAUCAUUUACCUAGUGAUCGAAAGGAUUCAAAAUCAAUAAUUUUUAAUGGUUGAUAUCUGCCGUUUUCAAGUUUAACGAUGUAAAAGUAUUCAAAUCAGAUAAAAUUUUGAUACAAAAUUUUUUAUACUAUAUAUAACAAAUUAAUAUUUCUGAUCGAAAAUUUUAGUGUUAUAUCACCAUUUUUAUAGAAUUUUUAUUUUCAGCCGUUAAAAAUUAUUAAUUUUGAAUCCUUUCGAUUGCUAGGAAAAUGAUAUCGAAAAAUCGCAAAAAUUAUUUUCUAGAAGCUUCAAAUACGCUAGAUCAAGUCUAAUGGAGCCGAUCAUCGAUUCGGAAAUUCCAUCAUGGAAAACGGCUCAGGAGCACGGAGGCCUCCGUGCUCUUAAGAGCACAGCAGUCCUGCUCUCUCUCUCUCUCUCUCUCUCUCUCUCUCUCUCUCUCUCUCUCUCUCUAUAUAUAUAUAUAUAUAUAUAUAUAUAUAUAUAUAUAUAUAUAUAUAUCUUUCUUAUCACCCUCUUUUAAUAGUAAAAAUAUAAUAUUGUGCAAAUAAUGUCAGAUAUUAUUUUGAUUCUUCCAUUGUCACAUAAUAUUAAAGAAUUUAAUGGAAUGGUUGUAUUUCUAUGUUGCAUAAUAUUUUCUCCUAUUUAAUUUUGUUUAUUCCCUACCAUUUCAACCGGUCAUGAGAAAGCUAAUUGCAAUAUUAAGCCGCAAAAUAACACUUUUCUAUUGGCUACAUUCGAUGGUUAAGUUUUACACUAAAUUACGAAAAUUUUCUUACAUUUUAUCUCCUAUUUUAAUUAUCUUCUUGUAGAAAAUUUUACUUUAUUAAUUUCAACUCCACAUUUUAUUACUGUAUCAAAUAGGUCCAAAAAUUUUUGAGGAUCGAUAAAAUUGGGUGUGAAAUUUAAUAAAAACUAGUUGGUAGAUAAUCAUUAUAGUAUUCAAUAAAAUAUAGUCGCAUAAAUUGAUCAUAAGUUGUUCCGUAAAUAGCCAAUUUCGAUAGCUUUAAUUGAAAAGAAAAUCUCUUCACAUAAGUUAAGAUACAUUAUAUAAGUAAUUGUUCGAUUAUUUAUUUUUUUUUUUUUGAGAAAAAGGUAGCACGGUACCCGCUUCAUUCAAUCAGAUAUAAACUAAGCUACAUGAAUGGGGCAACUCAGGCCUCGCGAUUGGUGAAAUAAAAAUAAAAAUAAAGAUAAAAAUACCAAAAAUUAGAAAUUAGAAAUACAUUAAAGUCUCUCCACAGUGCGCAGCUUCUCCACAGACUCGUUAGUUGUUUAAUCUUAACAAUGCCAAUGAAGGGAUCAGGCUGUGUCGUCUUGAAGAUCGCUCCGUUCUUGAUCUCCCAAAGAAUCCACCAACACGCUAUUGUUCGAUUAAUAUAGAACGAGCAUUUGUGUAGUUUUGCAUGCGAAUUUGAUAAUCGAUUAAUUUUCCCCGGUUUUUGGGAUCUAUUUAAAAUAAAUAGUAGUGAAUUAAUUCAAGGUUCAACUGAAGCAAAAUUUAUGCAGGUUAACAAUUGAGGCUUGGAGUAAAGUGCAAGGAGGAAUCUUAACUAUAACUAAUUAAGUUUAAGGCCAUAAUUUUCAUUAAUAAUUAGUUAGCAUGUAGUCAUCAACCCCUUCUUUUUUUAAUGAUUAUUCUUUAUCACACUACGAUUUCAUAUGUAAAUAUCUUAUAAUCUCCUCUUUUCAAAUGAGAUUAAACGAAUUAAAUCUCAAUUCAUGGUUUUCCAAUUAAGCAUUCUAGUUGAUGUGCCCACCUAUGCCAUUAAUUUUGUUCUAACGUAUAACCUUGCUCUAUUAAGCUAUUAGAUAUUGCGUCUGCUUGGACGCACGGUCGUGCACAUGUUUGCAAUACGCAAUCGCAAAAAAGCGGCCUUUUUAAAAAAGCUUCAACUUUUGAGUUUUCUCAAAAGCUGUGCGAGCAUGCUAUACCGCCAAGUCAAACAGGUUCACAAACUAUUAUUUUUAUAUUUUCAUAACUUGUUUUCAUGAAUUCUGCUAGAAAUGAGCAUAUAACUUUAUGAUUAGAUGUAUUUUCAUCUAAGCUAAGUUGGUUUGGUCGUGCCGGUAUUUUAAUAUGCUGAAAAAUAUUCCCAUCCAUGAAUGGGUCAUCACUAAAGCCAAGAUUAGGUUGCGAUAUCUGCUGGCACAACAAGAAACCAUUGGUCGGCCACUAAUGGGACCCACUCAUCACUUCCAAUCAAAAAGCUACUACCAAACAUAGUUAGUUAAUUCGGAUUCGGCAAAAGUUCGGUACGGGUAUAAUUCGGAUAAAAUUCGUCUUCUAAUUUUUAAAUUCGUUGAAAAAAUCGGCUAAAAAACGGAUUAGUUAAUUAUUCGGAUACGUGAUUUAUACGGAUAUUAUACGUUCACCAAUUAAAAAUUCGGGAUCAAAAAUUCGGCUAUUAAAUUAAAUUUUUUCCUCUCAAAAUUUAUACUAUUAGCAUAAAUAUUCAUAUUUUUUAAGAAUAUAAGAAUAAAGAACUACAAAAUUAAAUAAAAAAAUAAUAAACUAUAUUAUGCCUAAAAAAGAAUAAAUAAUUAAGCAAAUAAGAGAUCAAGAUAGUCCAUAUUUAAAUGUAAAAUACAAGAGUUCAUAAAUUCUAAAGUCUAAAGUAGGCAUGGUCCCUAGGUUAAUUAACAUUAUUUAGCUCUAUGUUUGGGUCUUAAGUUCUUAACAAUUUAAGGUGCACAACAGAGAAUGGACACAUUCAAUUUAAGCACUCGAGCCAUUUGUGUAUAAAAAAGUAUCCAUCAGAUGGACUAAAAGCUUCCAACUUUUGCUUUAAAAAAUGAAAACUCAAAUCGUACUUGGUUUGUAAAGAACCACCUUAUUACUGAUCUACAUAACGUUGGAUAGCGGAAGCGGAAGAGGAAGAGGCGACGGGGAGGGUUUCGAUUUCUGAAGAGUGAAGAACUCGAUCUUCGAUUUCUGAAGAGGGGGCUUCCGAUUGCGUUCGGCGAGCAGCCGGAAGGGAAGAGGGGGAGGGGAAGGGACCGCGACCGCCGCACGGGUCGGUGGCAGGGCCGCACCGCCGCAGGGGUGAGAACUUAGGGCAAACCCUUUUUUGGGAGGGGUGGGGAUGGGGGUGGGGGUGGGAGUUUGGGAGAUUGGGAGAGGGCGAUUUCAGAGAAGGUUUUUUUUUUUUUUUUUUUUUUUGUUUUUGAGAGGCGAACUCUUUUCUGUUUUGGGCCAUGCACGAAGCCCGCGACCGCAUCGCAGUCGCAGCAACGGCGACGUUUUUUUGAUCCGAAUUAUUCGCGAAUCCGUUUAAUUCGCGAAUAAUUACUUUUACUCAAUAAAACGCGAUUUUUUCCGAAUUUUUCCCAAAAGUUCGAAAACGGACGUUUUAUUCGGAAUAUCAAAAAUUCGCGAAUAAUUCGCGAAUAAUUCGCGAAUUAACUAACUAUGCUACCAAAUUGCCACC